UAUGAGCUUAUGGGGCCUAUUCUUC
rnacentral:piRNA from 1 species